AGCGGCGAACGGGUGAGUAACGCGUGAGCAAUCUACCUUAGUUACAGGGAUAGCCCGAGGAAACUCGGAUUAAUACCUGAUAUUCUUUAUUUCUCGCAUGAGAAUAAUAGGAAAGGUCAGCCGAACUAAGAUGAGCUCGCGUUCUAUCAGCUAGUUGGUGAGGUAAAAGCUUACCAAGGCUACGACGGAUAGCUGGUCUGAGAGGACGAUCAGCCACACUGGGACUGAGACACGGCCCAGACUCCUACGGGAGGCUGCAGCAGGGAAUAUUGUGCAAUGAACGCAAGUUUGACACAGCGACACCGCGUGUGGGAUGACGGAUCUAGGUUUGUAAACCACUUUCAGGAGGGAAGAAAAUGACGGUACCUCCACAAGAAGCCCCGGCCAACUACGUGCCAGCAGCCGCGGUAAUACGUAGGGGGCGAGCGUUGUCCGGAUUUAUUGGGCGUAAAGAGCUCGUAGGCGGUUCAACAAGUCGGUCGUGAAAGUUCAGGGCUCAACCCUGAAAUGUCGAUCGAUACUGUUGUGACUAGGAUACGGUAGAGGUGAGUGGAAUUCCGAGUGUAGCGGUGAAAUGCGUAGAUAUUCGGAGGAACACCAACUGCGAAGGCAGCUCACUGGACCGCUAUCGACGCUGAGGAGCGAAAGCUAGGGGAGCAA
rnacentral:rRNA from 1 species